rnacentral:rRNA from 1 species
CCUACGGGAGGCAGCAGUGAGGAAUAUUGGUCAAUGGGCGGGAGCCUGAACCAGCCAAGUCGCGUGAGGGAAGACGGUCCUAUGGAUUGUAAACCUCUUUAGGCGGGGAGCAAUGCCGGGCACGCGUGCCCGGAGGGAGAGUACCCGCAGAAUAAGCAUCGGCUAACUCCGUGCCAGCAGCCGCGGUAAUACGGAGGAUACGAGCGUUAUCCGGAUUUAUGGGGUUUAAAGGGUGCGUAGGCGGAUUUUUAAGUCAACGGUAAAAUGUACGGGCUCAACCCGGGCCGGCCGUUGAAACUGGGGAUCUUGAGUGGGCGAGAAGUAUGCGGAAUGCGUGGUGUAGCGGUGAAAUGCAUAGAUAUCACGCAGAACUCCGAUUGCGAAGGCAGCAUACCGGCGCCCGACUGACGCUGAGGCACGAAAGCGUGGGGAUCGAACAGGAUUAGAUACCCCUGUAGUC